CAGGAGACGGGAGCGUCCCCGGCCGCCAACAAAGGGCGCGAGGGGGGCUCCCUGCAGCCUUGGCGUGGGCUCUGGGGCCGCGGGGCUGCAGCCCGGCGCGUCUGCAGCCGAAGUGCAGGUACCUCCUUGCCCUGGGAGCGACAGUGCAGUGGGGCUCGUCUGCCCUCACCCCAGCCCCGUUGCCCGGCCGCCCGCCUCCCUCCCUCUCUCCCUCUAAAGCGACUGCUGAGGAGGCAGCAGCCGCCUAGCUAGGCACUGUGGGGUCCCGUUGCCUUUUACAGCAGCUGCGCUGCCUCAUCCCUCCUAGCCGGGACAGCUCUGCACGUAGAGCGCUGCUCAGCCUGCCCACCAGCUGCCCUGACUGCUGCUUGUCCCUCCUGAAGUUUCUUCGCAAAGUCUCUGCCUCAGAGGGGCGAUGGAUGCUGAGGAGGACGCUAGGGGUCUGUCCUGCCUGAAAUGGGUUGGGUUGUUCCUUAAGAUCAUGCAAAAACAUCCCGACUAGAAACUGACCAGCUGCAGUAGCAUCUUUGCCAGUUACAGUUAGAAACUAAAUAGCCUAUCCUUGGACUUGUCUUUCAAAUGCGCUCUUCCCCACCCCUCGCGUGUGAACGCAUUGGGCAUGGAGGAUGCAAAUCUCUGUUUCUUUUAGAUUCAUAGUCCCAUUAGUAUUGGUGACAGAUUAUGUAAUAGGAUGGAAGAACAACCUGGGUCAUUAUUUGCGUGAGCCCCAGGACUUGAUUUUUGCUAAAUUACACUGAAGAGAUUUGAAGACUAACAAAGCCACUCAUCAGUUUUGUGCAUCGUUUGCUAAAACCGAUGUGGAAAAAUAGAAGGGCAUAAAAUUAUUAGCAGUAGGUUUAAUUUUAAUAAGAUUUUCAUGCAUCUAAUAUUGCUACAGUCUCAUGUACUGGAAACUAAGCUAUUGCUAUAUGGUUGUUGCAGAAGGUAGCUCACUUUGUUUUAGAGAUGCAUUACUAUUUUAGCUGCUGAGUGAUUUCCAGACCACAUUAUUAGAAAGUAAGCGACAGAUGUCACUGUGUUGUAGAUUAAAACUCUCUCUGGUAGUGUUUUGAGUGUGCAUGGCUGUUGGGAAAUCCCUUGUUUCCUUAACAGAAUAAACCCACUUCAUUUUGAAGGGGAACACUUUGUUUUGCUUUUCCCCCCUGCUAUUUGGGGCAGUUGGGAGUUUGAAAGGAAGCUAAGGUGCCUAACUCCCACUGAGGGCUAAGAGAGUUGGAUGCUUAGCUCCUUUUUGUGCUUUUGAAAAUCACUGACAUGUUGAUACUCCUAAAAGCAACUUCGUGCCUACCAACUGUAAUGCAGGAUAAAGUAAAACAAGUUAGAGAGUAAAUCUCAUUACUCAGGUAACACAGUGGUAUUUCAAGGAGAUGGCAACAUGUUAAUGUGCUGUUAGGAUCCUUCCCUCAUUAAUCCAUUUACGCAGUAGCUUAGAAAAUAAAAAAAAUUGGCACCACUGAAAUAAAAUGUUACGGUAACAUGAAUUAGAAGUUAUUUACAUUAUGUAUGUGACUCCAUCCAGAAAAGCUUAUCAAUGGGUCUAUAUAGUAUGGCAGGGUCAGACUGGCUUUCAAGUUCCCUUGAAGGAGAGAGAGAAAAAAUCAGCUGUUUAAUGUCAUGUUGUGGUAGGUGUAUUAAAGGAGGAAUUCAUGGAAUAGCAAUUUGUUGUAACUAAAGUAGUAGUAGUAACAGAAGAAUUUCUAUCUACCAUUUUGCAUGUAAUAAAAACCAUUGCAAGUAGUAUAGCAUUGACUGGCAUUCACUGAAGGGAGUAAUGUGAUGGUGUCAUAAGUAAUUGACUGACAUAAUUGAAAUAUGUCUGAGUGACAGAGAAGAUAUAAUUUAGCAACAACAGAAAAAGGUUUGAGAUUAAUCUGACCAAAACAUCUGCUAAAAUUAAUCCCCUUUCAGAAUUUAAUAUCCAAACCCUUAUUAGAGUAAUUUUUGAUUGAUACUCAAUACUAGAGUAGUGAUUUGUGGCCACUUAUGUACAGUCAUACUACAGUGAGAAAACUGUAUCUGUGUCAUUGACACUAGAAUGCCUAACCUUUUGUUCCUAAAAUAAAGUUCUUUUAUCUGAUGUGGUAAGAGUAACUCCAAUAGUUCAGGUAGCAGAGCGGAUUGGUAUGCACAUGAGAUUUGACUUUUUAAUCCAGUAGAGGGCAAUGGUAAAUGUAUGCAGGAGCCAAUUUGUUCCUUCUGUCAUUUAGUAGUAGUAGUAAUGUAUUUGAAAUCAUAUUAAUCAACUUUCAUGGCAAGAGUUUCUAAAGAAAUGCUUGUAUAACAGGUUUUGUUUAAAUGUUAAACACUUCUGGGACUUAAGUAUGUUCUCACAGAGGUGAAAGUCAUGUCAGCAAAACAGAGGUGGCAGGAUAAUUGCAGUUUCUGAACUGACUAAAAAAAAUUGGCAUGUUGAUGUUGUCUCAGUUCUGUUCAGUAGGUCUUGUGAAGUGGUUGUGACCUGCAUAAUUUUGCCUAGAUGCUUCAGAGUUCCUACUUUCCAUCUCAAACGUGGAACAAAUAGUCCUUAAGUGCACCCAGAAGAAACAAUAAGUAGUACCUGCAUUGCACUCAGUCUUCAUGAAGGCUUGGAAUUUUUUUCAGAUAUCUACAAGCUAGAGGUAGACAUGAAAGAGGAAAUGAGAGGCAAGUAGCCACAAUCCACUUCUGUCAGCUUUUAGGAGUGAAAUCUCUUCAUAUCUAUCCAUCAUGAGGUUUUUGUGCUCAUCACUAGUAUCCAAGUGGACUUCUGUUUGCCUUUCCCUGGUUGGAUUUGUUUACAUUUUUUUGGAUAUAUAUAAAAAAAUAAUUCAUGGUGAGAAAAGCUCUGUCGUCAUGCUCUAGAACCGAUCCAGAGUCUGAUCACUUUUAAUCUUCUUUGGAAAUUCAUUCCUAAGCCAAAUUUCUUUGACCAAAUCACUUGGUACUUGGUUUGGUGAGUUGUAUUGUCCCAGAGGAGCACUUCUGUCCUGUCAUGUCAUGGAUGGAGAAAUGGUCACAUACAGCAGGGUCCUGACCUGCUGAGGACACUGAAUGCCUUGAAGUAGCAAUGGAAGUGGAUUGUGAGAUGGACUCGAGGUUGGGUGCUUGUGAAUCACCAUGGGCAGAUCUUGUCCGGGAGGAAGAAGUCGCGUUCCCUAGGAAGCUGCAGAUGGAAGAAAGCAUUAGUGGCACAAAAUGUCAGCUGAUUGUCCAGGAUCAAUGAUUGAGUUUAAUGAACAGGACCACUUCAAGCCGAGUGGGGUGUGAUGUCGUAGUUCUUUACAAUGUUUUCCUAUUCUGAAGAGGAUCAUGCUGGUCUUGUCUUGAUUCAGCUUGAGCCAGUUCCUCUCUCUUUAGGACUUAAUCUUGUGUGGACUUUGUGACAUUCUUGUGAUUGCAUUGUUUGCAUCUGUUGAGAAUGAUUUUCUUCUGUUUCCAUGGCUGGCAUAUCAUGAGCAGUGCAGCUGAUUCUACAGAUGAUAUCCUGUAGAUAUUGAAGAGGAGAUACAAUGAGGUGGAUUCCUUUGUGAAACUGUGGGUGAGAGCUUUUGGGAAAGAGAAGCUAUCACUGCACUAACUCUCCUUUUUGUGGUCCUCUCCAUUGGAAGAACUCAGUGCCUGUCUGCUUUUGCUCAUGGUUCCCCCAUGAUUAGAAUAAAAUCAUUUUUACAAGAAAGCAGCGUAUGGACAGAAAUAAAAGGGCAUUCAUCGCCUUUGCUAAAUAUUUCCCUUCAAGGAAUCUCUCAUACAUAAACAAAACAAUGUGUCUUGUAAGACUAAACAAAUGCUUCCUGUAAGAUUGCUACUUUGAGGAAGUGUGCUGCUCUGAUAUUUCCAUGAGUCAGGGUUUCAGAACCUGAAAGGAAACAACAUAAGACUUGUGGCAGACGAUUGGCUGGAAAAACUACAAAGAGAGUGCUUCUGCUUGGCAACAUGGUUACUGUUAAUAAUACUUAUGCUCUACUUAAUUGCUACCCUUUUCUCUCCUUUGACUCGUGUCAUUUUACUACUUAACGAGUUUAAACUUUCAAUUACAGAAAUAAAAGCAAAGUACAUAUUUAGCAUAUUCAGCAUUUCUACAAUGGAAAGCUAUAACCUGGGUAAUGGGAAAGAACAAAUCCUACACUGCAGGAAUUACAGAGCUGUGUUAUGAUGGAAGUUAGAUUACACAAUCAUAGUGGACCCUUUUGGCCUUAAAAUCUAUUAACUUUGGAUCUAGUAAAAUACCUUAAAUCUUGCACUGUUGUAUCCAGGAAUGUAAAAUGUAUGCUAUUCUCUUGAUAGCAUAAAACUUAGUGCUUUUGAGUGAGUGUUCAAAAAUCAUGCGUAAUAAAAUGGAGUUCUUAGUUGACUACCCUUUUAUCUGUAGGUUCAGAUGUUGAGAUUAGUUCUGCAGUACUUCUAGAAACAGCCCCACAGAUAUCAAUCUCUUGUGAGAGGGCGGAUGGAUUGGGAGUCAUUUGGAAGUCAUGAGUGAAAUAAGACUGGUUUCAGAACAUAACUCACGUGGGUGAUUUCAUUGUGUAACUUGGUAUAGAUGAUAUAUCCAGCUCGGUAGGGAGUUAGAACUGAAACCAAAGAAUGUCAUAGUGCUCAUACCAUGCCUGACUUUAUAUUAGCAAUUGUCAGGAAUACUGUAAUGCACUCAUACUGUAGAAAUGGAGAAGGGAAGUAGCAUUUUAGAAAUUAUGCAUUAUGUAGUACUUUAUGUAUGAAAUGGGUAAUUGUGGAAAUCAACUAAAUCUGUAAACAGAGCAGUGAUACAAUGAGUGCAGAAACAUUGGAUUAAACAUUUUAUCAGCGA